rnacentral:rRNA from 1 species
GGCAACUCGCCAUUCAGUGGCGAACGGGUGAGUAAUGCAUCGGAACGUGUCCCGUAGUGGGGGAUAACGCCGCGAAAGCGGCGCUAAUACCGCAUACGCUCUACGGAGGAAAGCAGGGGACCCGCAAGGGCCUUGUGCUAGGGGAGCGGCCGAUGUCCGAUUAGGUAGUUGGUGGGGUAACGGCCUACCAAGCCUGCGAUCGGUAGCUGGUCUGAGAGGAUGAUCAGCCACACUGGGACUGAGACACGGCCCAGACUCCUACGGGAGGCAGCAGUGGGGAAUUUUGGACAAUGGGGGCAACCCUGAUCCAGCCAUGCCGCGUGCGGGAAGAAGGCCUUCGGGUUGUAAACCGCUUUUAGCCGGGAAGAAAAGGCGCGGGCUAAUACCCCGUGUUUUUGACGGUACCGGCGGAAUAAGCACCGGCUAACUACGUGCCAG